UAAUACAUCGGAACGUGUCUUCUAGUGGGGGAUAACUGCCCGAAAGGGCAGCUAAUACCGCAUGAGACCUGAGAGUGAAAGCGGGGGAGUCGCAAGACCUCGCGCUGGAAGAGCGGCCGAUGUCCGAUUAGCUAGUUGGUGAGGUAAAGGCUCACCAAGGCGACGAUCGGUAGCUGGUCUGAGAGGACGACCAGCCACACUGGGACUGAGACACGGCCCAG
rnacentral:rRNA from 1 species